CUCCCACCCACCUGUCCAACCGGCGGCACCGCAUCUCGUUGCAGCGGCAAGCUCGACGGCGACCCGGACCUCACCUAACUGACGGCGGCGACGGCGAACGACGCCAAGGCUUCCAGAUCUGGCGGACGGCGGCCCUCUCCUUCCGACUUCCGUCGGUCCCAGGACCCAGAGGUCCCUCCGCUUCCUCCGUCGGCCGUGCGGGUACGGCCCUGCCUUCCGGCUGUAGUUCGGCGUCCGCGGUGGCGCACUUCCGCUGCUCCGAUUGUCCAGUUCGUAGUCUGGGCGCUAGAAGCCCCAAAAGAUCCAUCUACUGAUCGUAAUUUCAUCUGCUGAUCGUAAUUUCAUCUACUGAUCUACAACUCUGUACAAGGUAAUUUCUCUGCUUUUUUUUUAACAAACCACAGGUUUUUUUUAGCUUCUAAUGGGCAUGCUUCUGAUUCCUACGUCUUGUAAUUGCAAUUGAUUGCUUUCACUAAUGAACAAGACCUGUAUUACUCUUGUUGCGCUGCUCUGAUUUUGUAUACUGCUGUAUACUUCGAAGUGUUUUUGCUGGUGGGUUUAACCGAACAGAGAUUAGGUGAGAGGGAUUAAUCCCUCUAGCGGAAUGAUUCCACGUGGGGGUUGGGUGGCGACACCAAAACCCUGCAGGUAUUAGAUCCACUAGUGGAUAUAAUCUCUUGGAACCGAACAUAGCCUGAGCGGGUUGUUGUCUGUCAGCGCCUGUUACUCCGGUAGAUGGUUUUAUGUUGCAGAAAAGCAGGGUAAUACUGGCCUCAAGCCAUGGGUCGGUGCCGUCCAGCGGCGCCGUCGUGGACGGACGGUGCGGCUGAUAAGUACACUGAUAGUCCUCUUUGUCUUGCGGAUGGAGAGAACCUGGCACUGCCGCCAUGGCUCUUCCGUCUCAAGCCUCUCCCUCAUGUUGCAGAUUUGAUUGGUUGGCUGUUCACUCCUAAUUUGUGUUAAGCUGCUACUGCUGCUGCAGUGGCACAUUAUGGAACAAAGGACAUGAAUAUAUGUGAUCCACAGUAUGUUUGCUCAACAUGUUCGCUCAAGCAUGUUGAUUAGAGGCUGCACUGACUUGCAUUAGACGCGGACCAGCUGACUGUUGUUCAUAAUAAGCUGAUUAAUGUUGCAUUUGAGCAGGCAUUAUUUGAGCUACCAGAGAAGUUUAAAGAAUGCUAAAAGGAAUACACUCUAAACCCGGGGAGAAGGCUUAUGUUGCACGAAGAAACAAGAAACAUGUUUGAUUUGCAGGGUGAUUCUGCACUAAUUAUUCAGUUUGUUGUCUUUCCAAUCCAGAAGAACUAAGUGCUUGAUUUGGAUAAGCCAUGGUGACACCAGCUCCCAGCCAUAGUGAUUUGUAAUUUGACAGAACUUAUCCCUGGUUGCGUAAUGGAGAAAUCAGGGAUGCCUAAGAUCAGUGAUGAGGCGGAGGCAUGCGCUUGUCCUCUCAGCCCUUGUUUUGAUGCCAUGGUGCCUUUCACUUCCGUCCGCCUCUAGCUGGCGCUGGAUGCACCUAUCCCUUUCCGCACCGCAUCCAUGUUGCGGUACAACACCACUAAUAUCUCACGAAAUUGUUGGACCAGUUCUAAACUUGAUUAGUGGUCGAAGACAAAAAACUUUUGUCUCAUGUUCAUAACCUUGGAGGAGGGAAACAUCAAAAGUUCAUUAGUGCAGGACUGUGCCGGGUAGCAUGUGAGGCCCCAACCGACACGGUCGUGCACCAAAGGCCCAGUACACAUAGACGCUACCUCCUGGACUGUGGCCGCUGCGUCUCCUAGGACUAUUUAGGUAACCUUUUCUAAAAUAAAGGCAAAUUGAAUUUUCUUCCAAUCCCACAUGAAUGUCAGUAAUAAGUAAGCUACUGGUAAUGCAAAUCUUCAGUGUCCAGUUUUUUUGGUAAUGGAACAUUUAGACCUACAUAUUAGAUUCCAGGAGAACAUGAUGCGAGCAGCACUUGCACAAGCAUGUGUGGUUAGAUAUUUGUUCAAAGGAAUCAUUACAAGAAAAUGUGAAAGAAGAAGGUUUGGGAAGGAUAUGAAAGGAAGCAUUGAUAUUCACGAUGGAGUGCUGGUUAUAGGAUGACAGCCGACUAGAGGAUGAGGGUCGCUUUCUUUCUGUUGAUUAAAGAUCUGGUGGAUUCUCCCGAUGCCAACUAUUCUAUUAUUGGUAUGUGACCUGCACAUGCUAUGGUUAGAUGCACUUCUAAUUUUCUCUCAUGCGUAUACAGAUUUUAUUUAUCGAUUUACCACUAAUUUCCACUACAGCCUGAGUAUUGAUCUCAUGCAUGCUUAUACAUAAUUACUAUUGAUUUACAGCCAUUUGUGAUUACCUUGCACUGUAAUACAACAACAACAAAGCCUUUAGUCCCAAACAAGUUGGGGUAGGCUAUUACUUUGCACUGUA